rnacentral:rRNA from 1 species
UACGAAGGUCCCGAGCGUUAUCCGGAUUCAUUGGGUUUAAAGGGUGCGUAGGCGGAAUAUUAAGUCAGUGGUGAAAUCUUGCAGCUUAACUGUAAAACUGCCAUUGAUACUGAUGUUCUUGAGUACAUUUGAUGAGGGCGGAAUAUGUCAUGUAGCGGUGAAAUGCUUAGAUAUGACAUAGAACACCGAUUGCGAAGGCAGCUCUCAAAACUGUAACUGACGCUGAUGCACGAAAGCGUGGGGAUCAAACAGG